CAGUGAUAGAAUGGUACUUGCAGAAAUGAACUACUAUGUAUCUGACGGACAGACAGAUGAGAAAUGAACAUGGAAACAGCAAGACUGGUCCAAAAACUGUGCCACCACAUGAGAGGUGACAAAGGGCCUAAACCAGGGCUGUCGCCAUGGAAAUGGAGAAGAGUGUGGUCAACCUGAGGCUACGUAACAGCUGGAACCCCUUACCUGCUCACUCUGUGCCAGAUACGGUCUUCCAGUUUUACCUGGAUUAUUUUGUUUAAUCCUCAUUACAAGCCAAUGGGAGUUAUAUUAUUAUUACCGUAUUCUACAGAUAAGGAGAUUGAGGUUGGAUGACAAUCACUGGAAAAACCCUGCGCUCUCUAUCUUUUCCUAGCGUAGUCAUUGAGAUAGCUUCUCUCCAAGAGGGCCACCCACUGUCAUUCAUUUCCCCCGACUCUAAUUGUCAUUUCCCAUCGAGGUAGAGUCUCUUCAUCCAGCCCUUUCACUCCAGGCUGUGCUACGACUCCUUCAGUCACAGAAUGUUGUGUGUACCAUACUGCCUUUGCAGUCAUCGUCAGUCAAAAAACAUAGGAAAGACUACCAGUGAGAACCACCUUGCCAAGCUCGCUCAACACGAGAAUCAUGAGAGAUGGUGACAAUGCCUGCUAAGUGUUCUGCUGUGGACAAGGCAUUGCAUGGUUAACCUGCGUUUAGGAAGUAUAAACAACCGGGACAACCCAAACUCAAACCCAGGUGUAUCUGUGCUUUGAGCCCCAAGGAAAUCCAUCAUAAGACAGGUUGAUAUGUCGUGUCAGAGACGUGGGAAGUGGUAGUGCUGGGUUCAAAUCCAUGUUUUUAACCACUGUGCCAUACCUUGUACCACUCGGAGGAUAUUGGCAAAGAUGGGGAUCCCUAGUCACCUAGGAGCAGCUAAGAGAUUGCACUAGUCCAACCUCUUCAUUUCACAGACCCAUGAGAUCCCAGUGUUCUCAACCCUGGCUGCCCUGUGGAGUCAUCUGGAGAAGAUUUCAAACAAAACACGACGAAAGCUCAACCAGAUCAAGAGAUUUUUACCGAAUUUACAGGUCCACAGCGGCUCUCAUUUCUAACUCCUCGACCUUGGAUCCAAACCUUCGGCAUCUCAGUAAAUGGCACAACCAAGUUGCUCGGGCCAGAAACUGGCCAGUUUGAAUACUCAAGCCAGUAUUUAUCCUCGAUUCCUCUUUCCCUUCCAUCUACAACCAAACCACCGACUUAUGUCAGGCACUGGGUAAGUGUUUGUUCAAUGA